rnacentral:rRNA from 1 species
UACGAAGGGUGCAAGCGUUGUUCGGAUUUAUUGGGCGUAAAGCGCGCGCAGGCGGAUCCAUAAGUCAGAUGUGAAAUCUCAGGGCUUAACCCUGAAAGUGCGUCUGAAACUGUGGAUCUAGAAUACUGGAGAGGGAAGGGGAAUUUCUCAUGUAGGGGUAAAAUCCGUAGAUAUGAGAAGGAACACCAGAGGCGAAGGCGCCUUCCUGGACAGUUAUUGACGCUGAGGCGCGAAAGCGUGGGGAGCAAACAGG